CAGCAGCCACGGUAAAACAGAGGGUGCGAGCGUUAAUCGGAUUUACUGGGCGUAAAGCGUGCGUAGGCGGCUUCUUAAGUCGGAUGUGAAAUCCCUGAGCUUAACUUAGGAAUUGCAUUCGAUACUGGGAAGCUAGAGUAUGGGAGAGGAUGGUAGAAUUCCAGGUGUAGCGGUGAAAUGCGUAGAGAUCUGGAGGAAUACCGAUGGCGAAGGCAGCCAUCUGGCCUAAUACUGACGCUGAGGUACGAAAGCAUGGGGAGCAAACAGGAUUAGAUACCCCCGUAGUCCCUGUCUCUUAUAA
rnacentral:rRNA from 1 species